GCUGGGGGGAUUAGUGGCGAACGGGUGAGUAACACGUGAGUAACCUGCCCUUAACUCUGGGAUAAGCCUGGGAAACUGGGUCUAAUACCGGAUAUGACUCCUCAUCGCAUGGUGGGGGGUGGAAAGCUUUUUGUGGUUUUGGAUGGACUCGCGGCCUAUCAGCUUGUUGGUGAGGUAAUGGCUUACCAAGGCGACGACGGGUAGCCGGCCUGAGAGGGUGACCGGCCACACUGGGACUGAGACACGGCCCAGACUCCUACGGGAGGCAGCAGUGGGGAAUAUUGCACAAUGGGCGCAAGCCUGAUGCAGCGACGCCGCGUGAGGGAUGACGGCCUUCGGGUUGUAAACCUCUUUCAGUAGGGAAGAAGCGAAAGUGACGGUACCUGCAGAAGAAGCGCCGGCUAACUACGUGCCAGCAGCCGCGGUAAUACGUAGGGCGCAAGCGUUAUCCGGAAUUAUUGGGCGUAAAGAGCUCGUAGGCGGUUUGUCGCGUCUGCCGUGAAAGUCCGGGGCUCAACUCCGGAUCUGCGGUGGGUACGGGCAGACUAGAGUGAUGUAGGGGAGACUGGAAUUCCUGGUGUAGCGGUGAAAUGCGCAGAUAUCAGGAGGAACACCGAUGGCGAAGGCAGGUCUCUGGGCAUUAACUGACGCUGAGGAGCGAAAGCAUGGGGAGCGAACAGGAUUAGAUACCCUGGUAGUCCAUGCCGUAAACGUUGGGCACUAGGUGUGGGGGACAUUUCCACGUUUUCCGCGCCGUAGCUA
rnacentral:rRNA from 1 species